rnacentral:rRNA from 1 species
GGGGGUAAGCUUCAUUGUCGAGAGGGAAACAGCCCAGAUCACCAGUUAAGGCCCCUAAAUAACUACUAAGUGGCAAAGGAUGUAAUAGUACAUAGACAACCAGGAGGUUUGCUUAGAAGCAGCCACCCUUUAAAAAUUGCGUAAUAGCUUACUGGUCAAGUGCUUUUGCGCCGAAAAUGAAUGGGACUAAGUAGUUUGCCGAAGCUGUGAGAUAAUAUCGGUAGAAGAGCGUUCUGUUUUAGUAUGAAGCGAUAGUGAAAACAGUCGUGGACAAGACAGAAGUGAGAAUGUCGGCUUAAGUAACGAAAACAUUGGUGGGAAUCCAAUGCCCCGAAAACCUAAGGAUUCCUUCGCAAGGUUCGUCCACGAAGGGUUAGUCAGGACCUAAAACAAGGUUGAAAAACGUAGUUGAUGGAUAACAGGUUAAUAUUCCUGUACUAUAUCUUUUUAUUAAGAGUGACGAAAAAGGCUAGGUCAUCCAAAUAUUGGAAAUUUUGGUUUAAUUUUUCAAGGCUAUGAGAAGUUUAAUAAAAAAUACUUUGAGCUAAGAGGAGAAUACGAGAGAUACUACGGUAUCAAAAGUGACUGAUGUCAAGUUUCCAAGAAAAGCUCUCAUAAUUUAUAUCUGAUAUACCUGUACCUUAAACUGACACAGGUAGGUUAGUAGAGAAUACUCAGGGGCGCGAGAUAACUCUUUCUAAGGAACUCGGCAAAAUAACUCUGUAACUUCGGAAGAAAGAGUGCCUUACUUUUGUAAGGUCGCAGUGAUCAGGUCCAAGCGACUGUUUACCAAAAACACAGGUCUCCGCAAAGUUGAAAAACUAUGUAUGGGGGCUGACGCCUGCCCAGUGCUGGAAGGUUAAAGAAAUUGGUUAGCGUAUGCGAAGCUAGUGACUGAAGCCCCAGUGAACGGCGGCCGUAACUAUAACGGUCCUAAGGUAGCGAAAUUCCUUGUCGGGUAAGUUCCGACCCGCACGAAAGGCGUAACGAUUUGGAUACUGUCUCAGAAAGAGACUCGGUGAAAUAGAAUUGACUGUGAAGAUGCGGUCUACUUGCACUUGGACAGAAAGACCCUAUGAAGCUUUACUGUAACUUGAAAUUGAUUUUGGACUUUUCUUGCGCAGAAUAGGUGGGAGGCUAUGAUCCUCUUUUUCGGAAGUUGGUGAGCCACAAUAUGAGAUACCACUCUGGAAAAGUUAGAAAUCUAAUAAUAUUCUUUAACAUGAUAUUUGACAGUUUCAGGCGGGCAGUUUUACUGGGGCGGUAGCCUCCUAAAAAGUAACGGAGGCGUACAAAGGUUUUCUCAGUCUGGACGGAAAUUAGUUGUAGAGUGUAAAGACAUAAGAAAGCUUGACUGUGAGACCUACAAGUCGAGCAGAGACUAAAGUCGGUCUUAGUGAUCCGACGGUGCUGUGUGGAAAGGCCGUCGCUCAACGGAUAAAAGUUACUCUAGGGAUAACAGGCUGAUCUCCCCCAAGAGUUCACAUCGACGGGGAGGUUUGGCACCUCGAUGUCGGCUCAUCGCAACCUGGGGCGGUAGUACGUCCCAAGGGUUGGGCUGUUCGCCCAUUAAAGCGGUACGUGAGCUGGGUUCAGAACGUCGAGAGACAGUUCGGUCCAUAUCCGGUGUAAGUGUUAGAGUAUUGAAAGGAGCUUUCCUUAGUACGAGAGGACCGGGAAGGACACACCACUGGUGUACCAGUUUUCGUGCCAACGGAAUACGCUGGGUAGCCACGUGUGGAGUGGAUAACUGCGAAAAGCAUA